rnacentral:rRNA from 1 species
GAUGAACGCUAGCGGCAGGCCUAAUACAUGCAAGCCGAACGGCAAGAUUUUCAGCAAUGGAAAUCCUAGAGUGGCGUAAGGGUGCGUAACACGUAUGCAAUCUGCCCUCAACAGGAGGAUAGCUCCCCGAAAGGGAAUUAAGACUCCAUAAGAUCUUAGAGUGGCAUCACUUAGAGAUUAAACUACCAGGGGUUGAGGAUGAGCAUGCGCAUGAUUAGUAGUGGCGGGUAACGCCCACAAGACGAUGAUCAUUAGGGGAACUGAGAGGUUGA